GCAGGAGAGAACAGGUGGGUUUCAGAACACUGGAGAUUGCUGAUGUUAACAGGGGCAGUCUAGCGCCUGGGUUAAGGACCAAACAGGCUCAGCGAGAGAUCGGGUUGGGGUUCUGGAAGAACCUCCAGCGAAGGAACCUCCGAACACAGGACAAAACGGGAAGAGAUGGGCAUGAGCCAAGGGACUCAGGGAUGUGGACAUUUGAUCUCAAGAUUCACGAGCAUCUGAGAGCAGCUCCCGGGAGAGUGCGGGGACACGAGGAGGAGAAAGCAGAGUUUAAGAAGUAAUGAUGGAAGGAAAGCUUCCCGCGAGCGGCAGCAAGACCCACGUUUACAGAUCAAACGUGCCGCUGAGUGUGGAGCAGGAAUGACGGUGGAAAAAUACCCACACCAGGUGAAAUUCAGAAUGGCAACAAGAAGAGAAAACCCUGCAAUCUCCCUCUGGGAGAAAGUAGCCCAGACUUUGGAAUGAGAGCCAGACCCGGAUCAGAUUUCUCCCGAUCAUCCAGAAAAGCAGGAAGAUGGCGGAGCAAAGUCCUCAAAGUUCAGAAGGCAGAGGUUUGAACAGAGCUCUGCACAAGCUGACCAGUCCGCGGGACGAUGGCAAACCGGAGACUUCUGGGGAUGAGGAGGAAGGCGGCUGGGGUACCCCAAGCCCUGCGCGCACACCUGAGCCUGGGCUGCGUGCACACGUGCGUCCUGGUGAGCAGGCAGCAUGAAUGGGGCUGGCACAGCCGAGGCCGUGGGAGCAGCAGAGCCCCCAAAGACCAGCCAGAAGAACCUAGAAGGGUAGAGGGAAAUUUCUUCCUCCCCGACAGAAGUGAGUUGUUUUACAGACAUGAAAACCCAUCACCAAAUGGAAGACGUUAAUUACUUGAUGACCAUGAGCACAUAGCCCCAGGCCCCCUGGAGCCUAAGGACUGAUGACGUUCACCCCUGUGACACCGUCCUGUUACCUCACCAUCAGCCAAUCAGAGAACUGUGCAUGACCUGAUCACAUAGCCUGUGGACCCCCCUCCCUUACCUGGCUUUUAAAAAUGCUUGGCUGGGACUUCCCUGGUGGUCCAGCGGUUAAGGCUCUGCGUUCCCAAUGCAGGUGGCCCAGGUUCGAUCUGUGGUCAGGGAACUAGAUCCUGCAUGACACAACGAGGAGCCCGCAUGCCGCAACUAAAGAUGCCGUGUGCUACUAUGAAGAUCCCGUGUGCCGCAACUAAGACCCAGGGCAGCCAAAUAAAUAAGUAAAUAUUAAUCUAUAAAAGUCUAAGUGAGGCUUUAAAAAAUUUUUUUUAAAUAAUAAAAAUUAAAAUGCUUUCCUGAAACCCUUCAGGGAUUUCGGGGCUUUUAGGGCAUGAGCCACCUGUCUCCUUGCAUGGCCCUACAAUAAAGCUUUCUCUGCUCCAAACUCCGA